rnacentral:rRNA from 1 species
CCUACGGGUGGCAGCAGUGGGGAAUAUUGGGCAAUGGGCGCAAGCCUGACCCAGCAACGCCGCGUGAAGGAAGAAGGCUUUCGGGUUGUAAACUUCUUUUCUCAGGGACGAAGCAAGUGACGGUACCUGAGGAAUAAGCCACGGCUAACUACGGGCCAGCAGCCGCGGUAAUACGUAGGUGGCAAGCGUUAUACGGAUUUACUGGGUGUAAAGGGCGUGUAGGCGGGAAAGCAAGUCAGAUGUGAAAACCAUGGGCUCAACCUGUGGCCUGCAUUUGAAACUGUUUUUCGUGAGUACGGGAGAGGCAGACGGAAUUCCUAGUGUAGCGGUGAAAUGCGUAGAUAUUAGGAGGA